AUAGAUUAUAGCAGGUGGCCUGACCACCUGUGCUUGUCUACUUCCAUUCCAAAUAAUCUCCUUAUCGAAUGCAGGGAGGAGCAGACACCCGGGAGGGUCUCACAGGAAGAGCAGAGGCUGAAAAACAGAGUGACUAGGCAGAGAGAUAGGAACCUGCAGUGCAGGGAAUAUAUAACUUGGGGAAAGCAUUACAGACAAAUCCUUGUCUCAUUUACAACUUGUAUAUCUGCAGGGAUUUUUCUGGCUUCAGGGGCAGCCCUUUGCAUUUAUGUCAUGUUGGUAAUGGAUGGGAGAGAUUUGAGACCACAACUCUUCUGUCCUCUGAAGCGCUUUCACUUGGAGAAGUUGCAUGAUGCAGUGGAAUUUUUCUUCUUUAUGUCUGUCUUGGCUAAAGCAAGACAGACGAGCUUGAAAAGGCUCGCCCUCCUCAAGGAACGCUAUCUGAUUCGUAAGCAUUCCUAGAGGUUAAGGCUGGUGACUAUCAAGAAAGCAAAUACUUCACGCAAGGGUAAGUCUUCUAAUUGUGUUUGUGUUGAAUAGCUGCCAGAUCCCCAUGUCAGGAUGUCUGCAGUCACGGCUCUGAUCUCACCAUUCCUUCCUAGGCUGUUGCACAAUUGUGUUGCAUGUUUGUGGUAGGAGAGAAAGCUGGAGAGCUGGGCUAUGAAACCAUCUCGGGGAAGGAAGCCAUGUUUUAUUUUAGUUGCUUGGUUUGGAUAUCAGCCUGUAGAAGAUUGAAUAACAUUAAAAAAACAUAGUGCGACCCAUUCAUGGAAACCCAACCUGGUCUGCUACACAGAUAUGUGAAAUAUGAGGUUUCAAACUCAGGGUGGAAAAGGAAAUGUCAAUGAAAAUGUGUUCACUGGUAUAGCAGAAAUCCUAGUAUACACGUGUGAUAACUCAUUACUUGUACAGAAAAUUUCAUCUGUAGUUUCAGGAUCUGAUGGGCUUGUGCUUGUAGUUGCAAUUAGUCAGUAUUUGGAAAACAAGUGGUGAAUUUGCCCCUCUGAUGGAUUACUGCAAACAUCUUUUGUAGCAGACAAUUGAGACAAAACAGUGAAAGAAAACAGGUUAUUUGUGAAAAAGGAAAGAGAUGCAGUGGUAUUGCAGGCCAUGAGCUUAGCUAUGGAGAGAGAAAGAAAGAAUAUUUAUAACUCUUUCCAGCCAGAGUAUGAGAGCUUUUGGGACUCAGCACAUUGAAGACUGCUUUAGUUACAGAAACAUCUAAUUUUUGAGAGAAGACAGAAGUUGUCUUAGCCACAGAAACACUGAUUAGAAGUAAUAUCUUGAUUACUCUCAAUACCAUAAAUCUUUCUUAGAUGGUCAAGCUGUGCAUUAUUGCUGUUUGGUUACAGAAAACUAAAUUUCACAGGAGUUUAAUUUUACUACUGAAAAAAAAAAUAGUAAGAGGCUGUGUUAAUCUAUGACCAUCGUGUUGUCUCACAUAAUAAAAAAUGGUGAGCUGGUAGUGGUGAUCCACGAGGAUGUCAGUUCCACUUCCUAAACCAUGAAGUGGAGAAUUAUCCAGAGCAAUAAAGAAUUUGUACAAAUAAUACUGGGGAAAUCAGAAGUUAAUCUGAAUACCAUCUCACUCAAUCUAAUCAGUAUAAAUAGCUCCCUGCCAAGUGCUUCAUUACCUGAAACAGGGGUCAACUGAUAAAUAUCAGUCAGUCCUCUCAUUAAAAAAAUCCACCACCACCACCACUCCCCCCCC
rnacentral:lncRNA from 1 species